GAUGAACGCUGGCGGCGUGCUUAACACAUGCAAGUCGAACGGUGAAGGCGGAGCUUGCUCUGCUGGAUCAGUGGCGAACGGGUGAGUAACACGUGAGCAAUCUGCCCCUGACUCUGGGAUAAGCGCUGGAAACGGCGUCUAAUACUGGAUACGAGCUGCGAAGGCAUCUUCAGCAGCUGGAAAGAAUUUCGGUCAGGGAUGAGCUCGCGGCCUAUCAGCUUGUUGGUGAGGUAAUGGCUCACCAAGGCGUCGACGGGUAGCCGGCCUGAGAGGGUGACCGGCCACACUGGGACUGAGAAACGGCCAAGACUCCUACGGGAGGCAGCAGUGGGGAAUAUUGCAAAAUGGGCGAAAGCCUGAUGCAGCAACGCCGCGUGAGGGACGACGGCCUUCGGGUUGUAAACCUCUUUUAGCAGGGAAGAAGCGAAAGUGACGGUACCUGCAGAAAAAGCGCCGGCUAACUACGUG
rnacentral:rRNA from 1 species